UGGGUUGAGUAUGAGAGGUUUUUGUUUAAUGAAAUUGUUGCUGCUAGAGCUUCAGUUUCAAUUGUUGUUGCAGAGCCCACAAACUCAAAGACAUACAUUUAUUUUUUUAUUUUCCUUUUUCUUUUGGAUGGUUAAUGAUAAUGCUGUGAUUUUGGCAAUUGAUCUUUUCGUUUUUAAUUUUAUUUUUUAAUGGCAGAAGGAUGUCAGAUUGCUUUCUCUGAUUUAGUUUUGGAGGAAUUGUCAUUUAAACCAAAGGGAUAUAAUUACUGGACGUGGCAAGAUAAGAAAAUACAUUAUGUAGUGGAAGGAAAAAUUAUUAGUUUAGCAUGAGUUUAUAUUAG
rnacentral:lncRNA from 1 species